GGACCGCCACCCCCACACCCCCCGCCCUGGCUGAGGCCACCAAGGAGGAGAGAGCCGAGGUGAUCCGGCCGCUGCCUACCCCGACCACCGAACCCCAGCCCACCUUCCGUCUGGGCUCUAUGGAGGAGGAGAGAGAGAGCAAGGCGGAGUGCCCCAGAGCAGAACCCUCYCAGCCCAGCCUACCCUCAGACCCCAGACCAUUGGAGGAGUGCCUGACCAUCCUGAAAAACCCUGAGAUGGGAGCCCCAUUCCUGAGCGAUGAUGAGUGGUGGUUCUGGUAA